rnacentral:tRNA from 1 species
GGGGUUGUGGCUCAGUGGUAGAGCGCUUGCCUAGCAUGUAUGAGGCACUGGGUUUGAAUCUUAGCACCA